UAAAUGUGUUAUGUCGCUUUGCCUUUACGUCCUGUCAUUUCUUCUCUAUGUUAUGUGCAGGUGCCUUUAUUUCCUGAUACUGCAUCUCUGUUAUGUAAAAUUUGUUAUUUGUUUGGUCAAACAAUUGUAUUAUAUGUCAUUGCUGAACUUUGUUGUGUGCAAUAUGCAUUACAUUAUGCUGUAACUACUAUAUAUUCUGCGAAUACCUCCAAACUUU
rnacentral:lncRNA from 1 species